AAUGGUCUUUUCUCAAGGUAAUUGAAACAAAAAUUUCCUAAACAAAUGAGAGUGAUCACUUCUCAAAUUCUCAAGCAUUUACAACUUCAUUCACCUUUUCCUCUUUACUCAAUUGUUACAUCCUUGAACACAACUUAUUAGCAUAAAAUGUUUGAUAUAUUUUUUCCUUUUUCUUUUCUUUCUUUUUCCAAUUUUUUCUUUUUCUUUCUCACCCUCUUAGCAACCUACAUUUUUCUCCCCAACUUGAUUACAACCAAUCAUUAUAAUGUGAAU
rnacentral:lncRNA from 1 species